AUCAUAAAAGCAGAGUUGCCUUUUCCAGUCCUCAGAGCUGCAUCAUGAUGGAGAGGAUCUUGCUGGGUGUCUUGUGUCUCUCAGGUCAGUGUUAUGUUGGUGUUAACAUUAGGAAGUGAAUAUCACUGAGUAAUGCUGGGUAAUACAUGGUUAGUGUGGAGCCUUUUUACAUUUACAAAGACGUUGAUGGUUUUACUGUGGGUUUUUUUUUCUUUCUCACAGGGCAGCUCAUCCUUAGCACAUGCCUUGUCCGUCAGUACCACUUUGUUAAUGAGUCCUUGAGUUGGAACGAUGCUGCUGCCUACUGCAACAAAACCUACACAGACCUGGCCUCCAUUGAGAACAGUACAGAAAUGAACCAACUUAUCCAAACAGUUUCAUCUGCUGGUCACAACUCUGAGGUCUGGAUUGGUGCUCGCAAUUCUUUCUACUCGUAUUGGACAAAUUAUAUUGGUGGUGAAUUUUGGAGCUGGGAAAAACAAGCUCGAGAUGAACCUUCCUCAGUCUAUUAUAUCUGCACUAGCUCAAUAAACAGUGGAAUAUGGUACUAUGGUAACUGCUUUGUAGAACGUCCAUUUAUCUGUAAUAAUGGAGCAGAACAUGUUUAUGUGAAUGAACCAAUGGAUUUGUUCAGAGCUUUGAGGUACUGCAGGGAGAACUUCACAGACCUGCUCCACACAUGGUUUAAUGAGAAUUAUCAGUUGAUUCCAAGUGGAAGUCAAGCUUGGAUCGGCUAUUUCACAUAUACUCAGAUUAACUGGAAUGAUGGCAGUGGGUCAUCAUUUAAAUACUGGGAUGACGUUCCAGAAACACUUGAGUAUUUGAAUAAGCAGUGUGUAGCGGCAGAUUUGCAGAGAUCAGGAAAAUGGAGGCCACUGAGAUGUGACGAUAAACGACCAUUUGUCUGCUACACUAUGCAAAAGAAUCCUGUGACAGAACCCACUCUGAAAAAAACACAUAAAAAGUGAUUAAGCUGAGGAUGAAGGUGGAAGAUCCCUCUGUGGAUGGGAAUGACCCUGCAGUGGAAGCAGACCUACUGAAAAAGGCUAGUCUCCAAAAUGUAUCCUUCAACCAUUUAAAUAUCUAAUAUAUAAAAUAUAACAUACAGCAGCCAUUGUGAUCUCUAAAUAAUUUAGUUUGUGGUGACACACAGUGAAAGGUUACACCAGGAACACAACACAGUGAGACAAGAGGACUAUUUUUAUUCUAUUAUUGUGUGUCUCCCAGCUCCAGGAGAAAGUAAAGGACAAAGGACUGAACCUGAAGUGGAGAGAGCAGCCUGAUGGGAAAGUCUUCCACAAGGAGACAGAGAAGAAGAAGAAUUCAGAGCUUUGAAAUUCAAAUCCAACUUUACUUCUGUUUGUUUGAAACAGUGCAUCAGUGCAUAUUUGAAUCUGCAGAUCUGCAUACUGUGUCAACACCCUGUCAGUGUUUGUUCAUGCAAAUGAUACAGGUUUAUACCUGUACAUCUGACACAUGUCUUUGUAACUGGCCAAAAAUGCUCCUAAGUGGGUCCAUGUGAUGUUUUGCAUGAAGGCAGCAACAGACCAUUGGUCUUUUAGACAUCUAACAUCUAACAGUCUUCACCUAGGUGGCUUAAAUACAGGUGAUACAAACUUUAAAUUUGAAUUAAAUUGUUUUAAAGAAGUUGUUACCUCACUGAGUAGUAGUCCACUCCGUGUCCUGCAGCUCCUCAUCUAACAGCUCACUGCAGAUGCUCCUUCUUGUUCCAUUACUCCCUGAAAUGCUUCAAACUGAUCCAUCGUCAAAAAAAUGUGAUCAAAAUUGUUUCAUCGUGUUGUUUUUGUCAGACACACAGCAUGACGUGUAAAGACCAUUCACUGUAUAAAUAUGCACGACAUGUCUUACUUCCUUGCAUUGGUGAAACUCAAGCUAUUUUCCCAGGAAUAUGGACGACACCAUCUUGCGAGUUUGGAGCCAGAGUCUGAUCAGUUCGGUCCGAGAGUGAAGCUGGUCUAGUAUAGGCAAAUGCUGCAUCUGCUGAAGUUUUUUUUCGUUGUUUUGUUUUUUUAGCCAACAGCCUACUGCUAAUACUACUAUGUACUUUUACUAUGUACUUCUAUUUAUUUCGUAAUAUUACCAAACUCCACUAUAAUUUACCCAAAUAUCAGUGAAGAGUUAGUUGUUGCAGUCCUGCGCUUAAAUGAUGUUGUAUUUUAUGCUACUUAAUCUCUUUUGCCGUUGCCAUUAUACACUGUUCAUGGUUUGACAUCCAAGUGUGAAAUAAAGUGAAGUUGGAUUGAAA